AUUUAUCUGCCAGCCCUCUGAUGAGUCCUGUCAUUAAGCCAACAAGGUACAGAGGCCAAGCCUGGUGUUCUCGGCCCAUCCUCAAGUGAGUCUUGGGGCUUAUUGUCAGCUCUCUUAGUUCCUCCAGUUUCCCUACUCUCAGGUAAACAGGGACCUUUCAUCUCCUCAAUCCCACACAGCACUUCUGCUGUGCGCUACCCCUAAAAUAGCCUUUCCUUCACCUCCCUCCCUAUCCAGAUCCCACCUACUCACCAAGAUUCACAGCUACAUUGCCUCUUCCUCAGUUUCCCAAGCUGCCACCUCACCUCACUGCAUAUUGCUCUAUGGCAAUCUCUUUCCUUGCAGGUGCACCUGUCUCAUCAGCCUGGACCACCCCCCACUGUGUCCUCAGCAGGGUGCUUUGCACCCUACAGAUGCACAAAUAUGGAGGAAGUCAAGUGCAGUGAACUGGACUGAACUGGAUUGACCAUCUUCACUUCAUUUGAAAGGAACUCUCUGCUGACAAGCUAAGUCCCUCCAUGAGUGACUUCUGAGGAGUCGAUGGUGACCCAAAGCUUUGAGAAGAGUUACGGAACAUCCCAAGAAAUGGACCAGAAUCCUGCUAAGGACCAGAAGACACUCAACUCCAAGCCCUGUGGAGCCAUUUCAGACUAGGACCUCAUCUGUGGUGAUAUUAUAAUGCAGACCUGUCGCAAAGCACCUCCAGUUCAGAGAUCUACCUGCAGUUCCGGCUGGGGCCCUUCCCUCCCUGUGUCUGCAAGGGAUGAUGCAAUGCUAUUUACUCUCCAGGCACCAGCCAGCCAGCCACUGUUCAGCCUGACACUGUCCAGCCUGCCACUGUCUAGCCAGUCACUGUCCAGCCUGCCACU